rnacentral:rRNA from 1 species
CCCUUAGAUGUUCUGGGCCGCACGCGCGCUACACUGAUGCAUUCAACGAGUCUAAAACCUGCUCUGAUAGGGGUGGGUAAUCUUUUGAAUGUGCAUCGUGAUUGGGAUAGAUGAUUGCAAUUUUUCAUCUUCAACGAGGAAUGCCUAGUAAACGCAAGUCAUCAGCUUGCAUUGAUUACGUCCCUGCCCUUUGUACACACCGCCCGUCGCUCCUACCGAUUGAAUGAUCCGAUGAAUAUCAUGGAUUGAGGAUGUAAGCAGGUUCGCCUGUCUUCAUCUUCGAGAAGUGAAGUAACGCUUAUCAUUUAGAGGAAGGAGAAGUCGUAACA